ensembl:snRNA U6 U6 spliceosomal RNA
GUGCUCAUUUUGGCAGCACAUAAACUAAAAUUGGAAUGAUACAGAAAAGAAUAAUAUGGCCCCUUUGCAAGGAUGACACACAAAUUCAUGAAGCAUUUUUCAAGUUU